GCUUCCCAGUCAGACAGCUCUGGGGACGACACUGGCGUGGGAUCUUCGAGAAGACUGCUUGGGAAACCCAACAGGAAAAAGAGAUGGGGAAAUUGAGGUCAGGAGAGAUCUCAGAUCUGGAACAAGGCUGGAGAGCGGAGUGACUUGAAUACUAAGCUAAGGGAUCUCAGCUCUGCAAUGCGGACCAGUGAUGUUUCAACAUUUCCUCAUUUGAAUGCUUAUUCAUUGACCCACUUCCUACAUGCCAUGUGACCAGAUGUCCCAAGAAGAGUUCCUUUGGGAUGAAGUUAAUUCUCAUCCUUUGUAUACCAUUGUGAAAUAGCACUGCUGAGAUGGUGACAAGACACAUCUGAAGCAAUCACCUAGACGAGUGCCAAGGAUCCAAAAGCUUUAGCUUCUCAUCCUGCUGUUAACUUGUUCUGCUAGCCCAGACGGAAUCCUGAGCUCUCCUAUAGUUAAACAAGAAGCAUUCAUCCUCAGAACCAGUGGCUCUGGCCCCUUCUCCCACCAUGAACUCGACGUAAUAAAUAACCAGAGGAUACUGGAGUAGGAGGUGCCACAACCUUGUGUGACUCAGAUACUCGUUCAUUGAUUUUUCCCUACUAAUUAUUGAGCACUUCAGAUGCCCUGGGUGUUGAGGAUAAGCAAUAAAGAGGUUUCUAGAUCCUUCUGGGGUUGACAUGUGGGCAGUAUAAUCUUCUGUGAUCCUACCUCAGCGAAAACAUCCCAGUCAUCUGUGGGCAGAGGUAACAAAGGCCAUGAAACUUCUGCAGGUUUAGGGGUGGAGAGGGACCUCCCUGCUGGGGGCCCAUCUCCUCUGCCACCUCUUUCCUGUCAUACAGCAGUGAGGUAAAUUUUAUUUUUUCCUGAUAAUAAUAAUGAGAUAAUAUAUAUUUAGGGCCUACUAUGUGCUUGUGUCCUGUUGUAAGCACCAUCAUUCCCUGCAACUACCCAAUGGCAUACUUACCAUUGUAAAUGUUGUAUGUGCUUAUUACGUAAACUUUGAAUAAUAGAGCACCUAAGGACUGCCAUGGCUAAGAUCAUGGUGUGUUCCUUUCUCAUAUUCUUUCUUGGCUUAAGUAGCAGUAAAGUUAUACAUGUUCAACUAUACACUUUUGAGAGAGAAGAGGGAAGGAAACCAAAGAAUUUUAGUGGAUGCGCUGGAGUGAGCAUGAGAUGGGAAGAGAGGGGGAUUCUGCUGUUCCCUCCUUAGACCUCAGCUCCUGGGCCUCUCAUCAUGUGAGUGUCUCACCACAUAGGCUGUGGGUCUAGGUUUAUUAAAGAGAUGUGUUGGGGUUCAACAUGGCACCUCAUUGGGACCACCUGCUUCCGCUGAUGGUCACACUAGGAGUCAAAGAUCCAUUGAGCAUUUAGGGAAGCACUGGCUGAUGAAACGUACUGAGAAAUGUGCAUCUCCCAUAUGGUAUCAUGCUAAGGGGUUUCAAGGGUAUAUCAACUUUUGAUAUUUCUACGCAGAGAACAAACCUGACAGGCUAACAACCCCUGUACAAGAUGCCACUUUUUGGAGCUGAGUCACCCUGUACUUUGAGGUUUAAAUCAAAGUGACUUAAGCUCUUUAUCCUAUUUUCUUUAAACCUUAUCCUACUUGCUGGGAUGUCUAAUGUCCUCCCCCAGAUUUCUGUCAUCUCUGAAGUUGACAUUGUUUUGGUUCGUGCUGGUUCUGGGUUUCUGCCUAUGAGGAGCUCUGGGCUCACUUCUCCCAUGAAGGGACCACACACUACCCUGCCCCCUGCAUGGAGCCUGGCAUGGAAUUUGACUUCUACUUUUUGUUUUCACCGGCCCUUCUCCUGAGGAGUGUGUGCUUAGUAGACUUAAAUCAAGGUGUGCAGAUUUGGGAAGGAUUUUUAAAAUUCCUAAUAACACCAACAGAUUAAAAUUAUUUUUUCUUUCACAAUUUCUGAGCCAUGAACCAGCAGAGUACCUGAUGCUGUUGAGGCCUGGAGAAGGAGGCAGGAGAUUGGGGCCUGUAGCCUCUCAGGUGUGACAGGAUGCGUCCGUUCCCCCCUGGGUUGACAGAACACCCUGGGAAGCAGGACUACACUUGCCAUUAUCCCUAAGUGGGUUCUGAGUGGAUGAGAUGAUCAUAGUAAAAGGGGAGUGAGGGGUGGACUGUCUCUGACUGGGGAGAGAAAGGAGGGAAGCAGCUAGAGCCCAAGCUGGUGCUACAUACCAACACCUAUGUAGGGGGAUGGCCCACACACGUAGGGGUGGCCUCACAACACUCCACAACGAAACCAAUGUGUGUUCCCCAUGAGACGAAGCCUCACAGAGAGAGCCAAAGGCCAGUCCAUGUCAUUCAAGGAAACAACAACCCAUGUAAUGAAGUGGACCAGUCCCUCACCAGGGGCAGCUAAGUAAGGGGACACCUCAACCCUUCCAUCCUUCUGUCCUGCUUCCACACCAGAGGACAUGUGUGGAUGAGACAGGGUGGUGACAACAGACCCUACUCCCCUCCCUGCCAAGCUCCUUAGAGACACAGGUCCAGUGUUUGUGUAUGUGUUUGGGGUUGGGGGCAAACACUGUCAGGGGACGAUGGGAAGAAGAGAGUCAUUGCUUGAAAAUAAGUUCAAAAUGUGAAGGAGUAACCCCUAAUAACUGGAAAUAAGUGGUAUUGGACUAAGAUGAUGGUAAGCAUUGCUAAAGAGAGUUUGAGAGCACAUGGUGGCACUUUUGUGUUUGAAACUCUGUUCCUUAAUAAACUGGAUUCCAUCGUAGUUAUUGGGCAAUGGCCUUUUAAAGAUUCAAUUUUCAUAGCCAGUAUGCCUUUCCCCAGCUGCUUGUAUCUGCCCACUUCAUGUGACAACUUUUUUCAGGCCUGGAGGGUGCCAUCUCAAUACAUUGGCCAUUGAAGGUGAUGAUCCAGGGGAGAGAAAGGAGGAUGUCCCCAGAAAACCUUGCAGGCUCAGUAAUUUGUAUGGGAGUGAGCAAGAGGGUGUGAUUGUCCCCUCUUACCUCUGGGGGUAGGAAAAUGUUAUGUUCAGAUUGGGUGUGUAAGAAUAUCAGGCCUUUUUAACCCACAUUUACUGCCAAAUCCUUCCCUUCUGAGUCCGAGUCACCGUUCCAGCCACCUGCUCCUUGUGGCCACCUGGGAGUUCUAAAAUCAUGGAGUCUAGGAUAAUCAUCCUCACUCCCAUCACUUAAGGCACAGUUGUGUCUGUAGAGCAGAAUGAAGUAGAGAGAGAAAGUAAUAUUGAGGGCUGAGAGGGAGGAGGGACUCAGAAAGAUGGGCUAUUUGGAAAUGAAAACUGCGUUGGAUUCUAUCAUAGCCUCUGUUCUGAGAACAAGAAGAGGAAGAGAGGCUGACAGGGGAGGUUAGUUUUUAGCAACUGUUUUAAAAUUGACAACAGAGGAAGAGAGACCAGAACCACAGACAAAGUUAACAUUUUGCACUUCAGCGUCGUUUGAUCUUUCAAAAAGUCCCCAAUCUUCAGAGGGGUUGUCCCUGGAUAAGAGGUUCUGUUCUGAACUGGAGGAAGAUUUCGGUGAAACAGGGAUGGGAGUUUAUGGUCCCUUCCCCAAAUCACUCCCUAUCAGCAUCCCAUAAUACUGGAAAUCGCCAGGGUUAACUUUGCUUUCCUUCUGGCCACACUUAUGAAGCUCAUUUAAUGCAUUCCAUAGUGGUGUCUCAAUUUAUAGAUGAGCUAAUUGAGGCUUGGAUAAAUUAAACAGUGGAAACUCAUACAGCUGGUAAACCACACAUCUCAAGAUUGAAGCUCAGGCUUGUUUGAUUCCAGACUCUGUCACACCAGUGGCCCCACUAUAUGUUCACUCUUAUAGGAUCGGGACCUGCUCUGUCAACUCUGUUACGUGGUUUACUGACCAAGGUAACCAGGAGAUCAGCCUGUGGAGUUUGGGGGUCAGGAGGGCUUGAGUUUGAGUCUUGACUCCAUCAUUAAUCAGUUGUGUGACUUUGGAAACUCAGUCUCUUCAGUUCACUCAAAAGGAGGCUGGGCUAUGAGAAGUCCAACAAAGCACAUGGUAAGCAUUUUACUAGAUUACUGUUAAUUUUUUAAAGCUAUAUAUUCUUUGGCCAUGAACAAGCAAUGAAAGAGAACAAACAAUGAUCAGAAUGAUAGCUAACAUUUAUUGAGUGCCUAGGAUGGAUUAGACACUGUUGAAAGAUCUCUCCGUGUACUAAAUUAAUUCUCUUCACAAUCAAUGAGGUCUGUACAAUUAACGUCAGUGUACAAAGAAGAAGCACAUCCAGCCACAGGUAGAGGAGUCAGGAUUUGAAUCAAGGUGGCUGAACUUGAGCGCUUGCACUCACCAGCAGGAGGUAAGCUUCGUGUGGGCCUUCUUGGGAAGUUGGAAGCAGAGGGUGAUGCUUAGGGAGGGUGAAUAGGAGGCUUUGGUCCUGGGGGCAGCAUGUGGGCUUUGGGCUUCGGGAAGAGGGCAAGACAGGAUGACCAUGGACAUGGAGCUGGGUGUUUGAGACAGCUGUCACCUGUGGAAUCUUGAAGACUGAAUUCUAAGGUGAAUCACACUGUCAGAGCUUCUGUUUCCUUAGAGAUGGUCUAGACUCAUCUCAUGCUCUUUUAAACUGUGCCCUGUGGACCCUUAGAGUCCUCCAAGGAGUGGGUAGAUAGGGUCUUAGGUGGGGGCUCAGCACAUGGGUCUUUAAGACCCUCUUCCUUGCUUCAACUAGAGUGAUUUCACUUUGCUUUUCACUUUUUUUUUUUUUUUAGGUACAACUUACAUACAGCAAAGCGCACAAAUCUCAUGUGAAAGCUUGAUGAGGUUUUAUAUAUGUAUACAUCCAGGUAGCCAUUACCCAGAUCAAGGAGCCCGAGAUGUAAGGUCGAGCUGAACAGAGGCAUGAUGCGCACAUAACUGUGGCUCAAACCUGAAGAAUGAAGCAGGGUGAGGCCCACGGUGUGGAGGCUGGCCAGAGCGGACAGUUACUGAGAACAUUCUAUGUGGUGAGCGCUGCUCUGAGUGCUCUUCUUCUAUCCUCCCAUUUAAUCUUCACAAAACCCCGUGAGGAACAACCUGUAUAUGCCCAUUUUCCAAAGAAGGACUUGAGGCACAGAGCACUUAAGCAACUCGCUUAAUGUCACAGUCAAUGGCAUUGAAACCCUGGCACCCCCAAGCGUAUGGUCUUUUCGUUCACCCUGCAUUCAUUCACCCAAGGCUGACACAGUGCCCCCUCUGUGCUAGGGGGCAGGGUGCAGAGCUGAACACUUUGGUUCCCCCAACCCCACAGCCCUCACCGUCUUUCUAAUCCAAUCCAGUUGGCACUCUCCCACACUUAACUCAAGAACUGCUCUGAAAUGUGGCUGGUCUGAGCUCAUGUGCUAUAUGUGUAGAAUACACACCAGGUUUAGAAGACCUAAUACAAAAAGAAUGCAAAAUAUACCAUUAAUAAUUUUUAAUAUUGACUGCAUGUUGAAGUGACUGUGUUUUGGAUAUAAACUAUAUCAUUAAGGUUUAUUGUACCUUUAAGAAAAAAAAGUGGCCACCAGAAAACUAAAGUCAUGUGGGCGUUCACAUGCUAUUUCUGUUGGAUGGCGUUGCUCUAGGAUGUGAAGUCCUUGAAGGCAGGGGCCGUCUCUGUAUUGUUCACUGUGGGUCCCAGGAGACAGAACAGGGCCAGUACACAAUGGUCCCUCAAUAGAGUUGUUGGAUAAUUGAAUAAAUGACCAAAUCCUACGCACCUUUGCUGCUCAUCUGUUCCCUGUGAACACAAGGUCAGACCUCACUUGUACCUUGCUUUGUCUCUCCAGGAAAUCCCUCAGUUAUUCUGAGGCUUAAACAGAAAACGGAGGCUGCUUCAUGCCAAGAAAUGGAGAGGCUGGAUAUGUGGUGGAAUUUGGAAAAUAAAAAGGGUCAGAGUAUUUCCAGCCACAAUGGCAGCUAUCACUGACUGGAUGCAAAUUCUGUGCCUGGCAUCAUUCUCAACACUUCGUACGGAGUGAGCCAUUUAAUUCUAACGACCCUAUGACAUCCAUCUCGCCAUCAGCUCCAUUUGAUAGAUGGGGGAAAUUAAAGCUCAGAUAGACUAAGUCACACCCCUGGGAUUACAGGGCUGGAUUUGUAACCAGGUCUGUUUGAUAAUGACACUUGGGUUUUCAACCACUCCCACAGAGCAUAGGGAAAAUGGGACUGGGAUUCCCCCUCCCCCACAGAGUGACCCUUCACCAGGUCCCCUUUGCGCUGGGGCCCCAGAGAAGCCCUAGACAGUAGACGUCCUGGCUCUCCUGGGUUCUGGGGAACCUAUCAUCUGUGUGGUGUAUUACCACAUUUUCUGGGCAUCUAGCCUCAUUCUGCCAGUACAUCCAGCCAUAUCUUGUCAUGUAUCUUCUUCACCAGAUGGCUGGGCUGUUUGUGGGCUGGCUCCCCCACCUUCUGUACCUGUGACGUGGCCAUGAGCCAGCAGGUGAGUGAGCAUCUGGGGCAGGGGAUAGCCCCCACCCAUGCCUUCUGAAAAGCCAUCCCUUCUUGUCCUUUGGGACCUUGGCUUCUACCGAUUCCUGGAGAGCAGAAACUCGCAGAGAGGCCCCAAACCACUUGUUCCAGUGCCGCUGAAGAAUGUGUGCUGAUCUUCCAUGUGUUUGUGUUAGUCCAUUGUCCCUUCAGGUCAGGUGGUGGGCCUGCAGGUCAUGAACCCAGGUGCUGGGAUCAGGCACCGUGCCCUUCAGUUCAGAACAUCACCUCUAGCCGUAUUGUUGGAGAGCUCAUUCUUUCUGUCUAAGGCUCAGCCUCCUCUUCAGUGAAAUGAGGUCAGUAAGAAACCACUUAUGUUGCUAUUGUUUCCUGUCAAGGCAUAGCUCAAAGUCUUGACCCCCUGUCCUCUAAACUCAUACUGCAGUCCUGACUCCUGCAUGGAUUAACACCCAUUCAUUUGUAAUGUCACCUGAUGGUGUGCAUGCAUCUGGCAGGUAUGGUUCCCAUGGUCUUCAAAAAGAAAAUGCUUAGCACAUGAGCUAGCACUACUGCCCAGUUCAGGUCCUGAGCCUGCUCCUUCUUACUCCCUAUGUGGACUUGGUGAGGUUACUCUACCUCUCUGAACCUCGGUUUCCUUAUCUCUAAGGGCGAUAGUAAUACCCCUCUUGAAAGGUUGUGGUGGGGCCACGUGGAACAGUCCUGGAAAACGCAUGUAAAAUGCGGUCAUGACUUCAAGAGGGGCGUGUUCAUGUCCUUGUCCAUCCACACUCUACCUGACACCUGCUCUUCCCAUGAUGACCAGCCCAUCUCCAUGAAUGCAACUCAGCUUUCCCUUUGCUGAAGCCAAAAAACUUGGCAUCAUCGUUGACUCCGUUCUCUCUCAAACAGCCGUGAAAUACUGUUGGCGGGGUGUCCCGCCUUCACCUGCUCCACCCCUCUGCUGACCCUGGUCAAAGUUGCCAGCAUCUCCUAUCUGCAUCUCAACUCCUACCUGGUCUCCCUGUUUCCAUCCUUGACUCCACAGCAUGAUCCUUUGGUGGGAUUAGCUUGUUUGUUGGUCGUUUUUAUUUUUUUAAGCAAAUACUUAAAUGGUGCUCCCUAGGUGCCAGGCACAAGUCUGAGUGCUUUACAGAUUUCAACUCACCUGGAUCCUUACAACAGCCCCAGGAAGACAGUACUUAACUGAAGUCACCUAUCUAGUCAGUGGCAGGGCUGGGGUGGCCAUCUGGCUCCUGAUUGGUGCUGCCAACAGUGAUCCUCUUAAAACACAUCAGAUUGUGUCCCUGCUCUGCUCAGACCCUCCAGUGGCUUCUCGUGGGCUCGGAGUAAAAGCCAAAUCCUCACCAUUCUGCUCUAGCUACGUUGGCCUUAAACACCGCAAGCCCACUCCUGCCUCAGGGUCUCUAUGCUUGCUGGUUUGCUUUCAUGUCCUCAGCCCAACCAGCCCUGAUUUUCUCAGGGCCAUGAGCUCCGUUAAUGUCCAUGAGUUUGGACAUUAUCUGAAGGGAAUGAGGAAUCCACUAAGGAGCAUGGAAAAAAAGUCACGUAAUGUGAUGUGCCGGAGCUUGUACUUGCUCACCAGGGCCAGUUGUUAAAUUUUUAGGAGAUUCGCAAGCUGAGUAUUAAAUCACGGUAGCUUGAAAUUCAAAAACAGGUGAGAGAGAGCAUUUACACCAUGGAAGUUGGCAAGCACUACAAAUCAUGGCUCCCCUCCCACCCUGCCUCCCCAGAGAGCUGUUGUUAAGUAUUUACCAGCACGCCAGUGGCUUUGACAAAGGUUUGUAUGAAGUGCAAGUAAGGUGUUAACUUACUAAGUCAGGACAGGCUUCCCAGAAGACCUGGCAUUUAAACUGGGUCCUGAGACAUCAGUAGGCACUUGCCAAAGGUGAGAAGGCAUCCCAGAC